rnacentral:lncRNA from 1 species
UUGGAAGGUAUUCCUGGACUUUCCGGACCAAAAGGCUACCAGGGAUUACCUGGAGACCCAGGGCAACCUGGGCUGAGUGGACAGCCGGGAUCACCAGGACUACCAGGUCCCAAAGGUACUCCUGGUCUCCCUGGUCCACCAGGACUUACCGGACCUCCUGGACCUAAAGGAAACAUUGGCGACAUGGGUUUUCCUGGCCCUCAAGGUGUAGAUGGGCCUCCUGGACCUCCUGGAGGUCCUGGACAACCUGGCUCUCCCGGGUUGCCUGGCCAGAAAGGAAGUAAAGGAGAACCUGGAGUUUCAGGCAUUGGUCUCCCUGGUCUUCCUGGUCCAAAGGGUGAACCUGGUCUGCCUGGAUAUCCAGGAAACCCAGGUAUCAAAGGUUCUAUGGGCGAGGCUGGUCUGCCUGGCUUACCAGGAAGCCCUGGAGCAAAAGGUCAACCCGGCCUGCCCGGAUUCCCAGGAACACCAGGGCUUCCUGGACCAAAGGGUAUGAAUGGUCCUCCUGGUAACCCUGGCCUUCCAGGAGAACCUGGUCCUGUAGGUGGUGGAGGGCGUCCUGGACCACCAGGACCUCCUGGUGAAAAAGGCAAGCCAGGUCAAGAUGGCAUUCCUGGACCAGCAGGACAAAAGGGAGAACCAGGUCAACCAGGCUUUGGAAUCCCAGGACCUCCUGGACUCCCAGGACUUUCUGGUCAAAAGGGUGAUGGAGGAGCCCCUGGCCUUCCAGGAAAUCCUGGCCUUCCAGGUUCAAAGGGUGAACCAGGCUUUCAGGGAUUCCCUGGUAUGCCAGGUCCCCCAGGUCCCCCUGGUUCUCCUGGCCCAUCUUUGGAAGGUCCCAAAGGAAACCCUGGGCCUCAAGGCCCUCCUGGGAGACCAGGUCCACCUGGUACAGAAGGUCCUCGUGGCCCCCCUGGAAAUGGAGGUAUUAAAGGAGAGAGGGGAAAUCCAGGUCCACCUGGGCAACCAGGCUUACCUGGCUUGAAAGGAGAUCAAGGACCACCAGGCCUUCCGGGUAACCCUGGCCGACCAGGUCUUAAUGGAAUGAAAGGAGAUCCUGGUCUCCCUGGUGUUCCAGGAUUCCCAGGAAUGAAAGGACCCAUUGGAGUACCAGGCUCAACUGGCCCUGAUGGGGAACCAGGUCUUACGGGGCCCCCAGGUCCUCCUGGGUUGCCUGGUCCUUCAGGACAGAGUAUUGUAAUCAAAGGAGAUCCUGGACCUCCAGGAAUUCCUGGACAACCUGGAUUAAAAGGUCUACCAGGACUUCCAGGCCCUCAAGGUCUACCAGGUCCAAUUGGCCCUCCAGGAGAUCCAGGACGCAAUGGACUCCCAGGCUUUGAUGGUGCAGGAGGGCGCAAAGGAGACCCAGGCCUGCCGGGGCAGCCAGGUAGCCGUGGAUUGGAUGGUCCCCCAGGACCAGAUGGAUUGCAAGGACCUCCAGGGCCCCCGGGAACCACCUCUGUUGCCCAUGGAUUCCUCAUCACACGUCACAGUCAGACAACAGAUGCACCACAAUGCCCACAGGGAACAGUCCAUAUCUAUGAUGGCUUUUCUCUCUUAUAUGUACAAGGAAAUAAAAGAGCCCAUGGUCAAGACUUGGGGACAGCUGGCAGCUGCCUUCGUCGCUUCAGUACCAUGCCUUUCAUGUUCUGCAACAUUAACAACGUUUGUAACUUUGCUUCAAGAAAUGACUAUUCUUACUGGCUUUCCACCCCAGAGCCCAUGCCAAUGAACAUGGAACCCCUGAAGGGCCAGAGCAUCCAGCCAUUCAUUAGUCGAUGUGCAGUAUGUGAGGCACCAGCUGUGGUGAUUGCAGUUCACAGCCAGACUAUUCAGAUUCCUCACUGUCCUCAGGGGUGGGACUCUCUGUGGAUUGGCUAUUCAUUCAUGAUGCAUACAAGUGCAGGAGCAGAAGGCUCUGGCCAAGCCCUAGCCUCUCCUGGCUCCUGUUUGGAAGAAUUUCGUUCAGCUCCCUUCAUCGAAUGUCAUGGACGAGGGACAUGCAAUUACUAUGCCAAUUCUUACAGCUUUUGGCUGGCCACUGUUGAUAUGUCAGACAUGUUCAGUAAACCUCAGUCAGAGACACUGAAAGCAGGCGACUUGAGGACACGUAUUAGCCGAUGUCAAGUAUGCAUGAAAAGGACAUAACAUGUUGAAGAAUUACUGGUGUUUUUAAAUGUGAUUAUAAAUAUAUAUAUAUACAUAUAUAUAACAAUUGUAUGUGAUUCCCAGGAUGCAAUGUUUCACUCACUCUCCCCAACUUUACCACUGCUACCACCAAUGGUGCUAAUAUCCUCUAUGAAGAAAGGAACAUGCUGACUAGUAACCAUGAAGAUUCACAAGUACCUCAGCGAUGUGCCAGAGCAAGGCCUCCAUUCUUUCUUAUGAAAGAAGUUGGGGAGUGACUAUACUUCUGGGGGUCCAGAAUAAAUUUCUGGAUUAUAAGACGAAGUUCAUAUAAUUUGCCUAGUUACUAAAAUGGCACAUUAAAAAUUCAAUGAAGAGAAGAAUCAAAAAUACUGACUGCAGUUUGAGGAAGUAUUCUUUUUCAUGGUGCUACUAAUCCUAAUGUACCCCCAGGUUUUUAAUAGACGAGUGUUAAUCUUAUUUUGCUCUGUAAGUAAAAAAAAAAUGUGUAUAUUCUGUAAACAACCUCUUAGCUCAAAAUGUUGAGUCAUUUAGAUGUGAUCCGGGAUAAGCCCCUCUUCUGAAAAAAAUCUAUGAAAUCUUACUCUAUAGACAGCAAGAUAUUCAUGGGAGAGAAUUUAUCUUACCAUCAAGUUAUUACUGGAAUCAAAUUAAUUGGGAUUUUAGCCCAUAAAUUCUUAUCUGACUUAAAGAAAACACAUCCUUUAAGUAACUUUGAUCAGAAUUUUAGUGGUUCAUGUAAAACUUAUCAACUUAUCAUAUCCAAUGGAGCAAUCUCCUGUUUUAUAUAUUGUUUUUGCAUACUCCUGAUGGUUUUGAGAAAAAAUGCCAAAUUAACAAUUCUUAUUAUCCUGGUGCUUCCCAUGUAAGAAUUAUUCUCCUGUAGGCUCAUUUGUAUAAGAAGACAAUAUUUGCUUGGUCUUCUCCCUUCAAUUAGAAAAAGACAAUGGACUUUUAAAACCUUUAUAUUUUAAACAUUUUAUCAAAAUAGUCAUAGAAUACAUUAUUUUCUUAACUGUCAUCUUCUCACUGAAUGUUUUUUUUAAUUUACCAGUAUCAACUUAAUUAAAGAUAUAUGUUAUAAUUAUG